UACGUAGGGAGCAAGCGUUGUCCGGAAUCAUUGGGCGUAAAGAGCGCGUAGGCGGUCCGGUAAGUCGGUUGUGAAAACUGGGGGCUCAACCCUCAGAGGCCGACCGAUACUGCCGGGCUAGAGUCCGGAAGAGGCGAGUGGAAUUCCUGGUGUAGCGGUGAAAUGCGCAGAUAUCAGGAGGAACACCAAUGGCGAAGGCAGCUCGCUGGGACGGUACUGACGCUGAGACGCGAAAGCGUGGGGAGCAAACAGG
rnacentral:rRNA from 1 species